rnacentral:rRNA from 1 species
UGUUCGAAAGGGAAACAGCCCAGACCACCAGCUAAGGUCCCAAAAUAUAUGUUAAGUGGAAAAGGAUGUGGCGUUGCCCAGACAACUAGGAUGUUGGCUUAGAAGCAGCCAUCAUUUAAAGAGUGCGUAAUAGCUCACUAGUCGAGUGACACUGCGCCGAAAAUGUACCGGGGCUAAACAUAUUACCGAAGCUGUGGAUUGUCCUUUGGACAAUGGUAGGAGAGCGUUCUAAGGGCGUUGAAGCAUGAUCGUAAGGACAUGUGGAGCGCUUAGAAGUGAGGAUGCCGGUGUGAGUAGCGAAAGACGGGUGAGAAUCCCGUCCACCGAUUGACUAAGGUUUCCAGAGGAAGGCUCGUCCGCUCUGGGUUAGUCGGGUCCUAAGCUGAGGCCGACAGGCGUAGGCGAUGGAUAACAGGUUGAUAUUCCUGUACCACCUAUAAUCGUUUUAAUCGAUGGGGGGACGCAGUAGGAUAGGCGAAGCGUGCGAUUGGAUUGCACGUCUAAGCAGUAAGGCUGAGUAUUAGGCAAAUCCGGUACUCGUUAAGGCUGAGCUGUGAUGGGGAGAAGACAUUGUGUCUUCGAGUCGUUGAUUUCACACUGCCGAGAAAAGCCUCUAGAUAGAAAAUAGGUGCCCGUACCGCAAACCGACACAGGUAGUCAAGAUGAGAAUUCUAAGGUGAGCGAGCGAACUCUCGUUAAGGAACUCGGCAAAAUGACCCCGUAACUUCGGGAGAAGGGGUGCUCUUUAGGGUUAACGCCCAGAAGAGCCGCAGUGAAUAGGCCCAAGCGACUGUUUAUCAAAAACACAGGUCUCUGCUAAACCGUAAGGUGAUGUAUAGGGGCUGACGCCUGCCCGGUGCUGGAAGGUUAAGAGGAGUGGUUAGCUUCUGCGAAGCUACGAAUCGAAGCCCCAGUAAACGGCGGCCGUAACUAUAACGGUCCUAAGGUAGCGAAAUUCCUUGUCGGGUAAGUUCCGACCCGCACGAAAGGCGUAACGAUUUGGGCACUGUCUCAACGAGAGACUCGGUGAAAUCAUAGUACCUGUGAAGAUGCAGGUUACCCGCGACAGGACGGAAAGACCCCGUGGAGCUUUACUGUAGCCUGAUAUUGAAAUUCGGCACAGCUUGUACAGGAUAGGUAGGAGCCUUUGAAACGUGAGCGCUAGCUUACGUGGAGGCGCUGGUGGGAUACUACCCUAGCUGUGUUGGCUUUCUAACCCGCACCACUUAUCGUGGUGGGAGACAGUGUCAGGCGGGCAGUUUGACUGGGGCGGUCGCCUCCUAAAAGGUAACGGAGGCGCUCAAAGGUUCCCUCAGAAUGGUUGGAAAUCAUUCAUAGAGUGUAAAGGCAUAAGGGAGCUUGACUGCGAGACCUACAAGUCGAGCAGGGUCGAAAGACGGACUUAGUGAUCCGGUGGUUCCGCAUGGAAGGGCCAUCGCUCAACGGAUAAAAGCUACCCCGGGGAUAACAGGCUUAUCUCCCCCAAGAGUUCACAUCGACGGGGAGGUUUGGCACCUCGAUGUCGGCUCAUCGCAUCCUGGGGCUGUAGUCGGUCCCAAGGGUUGGGCUGUUCGCCCAUUAAAGCGGUACGCGAGCUGGGUUCAGAACGUCGUGAGACAGUUCGGUCCCUAUCCGUCGUGGGCGUAGGAAAUUUGAGAGGAGCUGUCCUUAGUACGAGAGGACCGGGAUGGACAUACCUCUGGUGUACCAGUUGUCGUGCCAACGGCAUAGCUGGGUAGCUAUGUGUGGACGGGAUAAGUGCUGAAAGCAUCUAAGCAUGAAGCCCCCCUCAAGAUGAGAUUUCCCAACUUCGGUUAUAAGAUCCCUCAAAGAUGAUGAGGUUAAUAGGUUCGAGGUGGAAGCAUGGUGACAUGUGGAGCUGACGAAUACUAAUCGAUCGAAGACUUAAUCAA